rnacentral:misc_RNA from 1 species
AGUAAGAGAUAAAUUAAUUUCUCAGUCAACCUUCAGGACUUUAGUCAACCUUCAGGACCUUAGACUCUACAUCAGGACUUUAGUCUUGCCUACCUAGUAACCUGCUUUAUCAAACCUUGAGCGUUGUUUCUUAACUGAGCUGAAUCAUCUUCACAAAGGUUUUGCAACAUUGGUUUGUAGGGCUACCAACUGAAAUAGUGUCGUCUUGCAGUCGAUAUUCAGUAGGAACGAACCAAUCUCUAUUGACAAAAAUGGCCAGUGGUGGAAAUAAAAAGAAAGGACGCUUUUAGGGGCUCUGCUAUUGACAGCAACAAAGCAAGGGGAACCUUGGAAGUAUCGUACGUAUCUUCUCGCUACUAUCAAGAACAGAGAUGGUGAGGUGAUCUUCAAUCAAUGCUUUGAAAACACACCAAAGACUAGACGUACAGAAGGAAAACAGGCUGAAGUUGCCAUGCUUGAUAAUAGCAACAGGAAAGAAAUAGUUGAGGGCAAUACUAAUAUCAGCAUUUUUCUGACAAUAAGUUAUUCGCCAUGUAAAGAUUGUGCAGGAAAAUUGAUAUCAUUUUAUGAGCGUCAUAAAAGAGACAUUACAAGUUUCAUUGUCCAAUUUUCCCAGUGUUAUUACAACUUAAGUGACCUCCCAAUUCUGGAUCUGGUGAAAGCGGGUGUAACCUUACUUGCUAUGAGUAAAGAUCUCUGGCGUGAAAUUGGAAUUAACUUUGAGACCAUAUUUCCACUGGAGCUUGAGCAUCUCAAACUCAAAGAAAGUGUGGAAAACUGGAACGCUCUCCCAGACGGCAUUAGGAACAUUUCCGAUUUUUCAGUUUUUAGACGUCUUGUUAAAAACAUGUAGUCUCUUCUAUUGAUUAUGCCCUUUUAUCCUU